rnacentral:rRNA from 1 species
CUCGUAGGUGGCCAACUAAGUCAGACGUGAAAUCCCUCGGCUUAACCGGGGAACUGCGUCUGAUACUGGAUGGCUUGAAUCCGGGAGAGGGAUGUGGAAUUCCAGGUGUAGCGGUGAAAUGCGUAGAUAUCUGGAGGAACACCGGUGGCGAAGGCGGCAUCCUGGACCGGUACUGACACUGAGGAGCGAAAGCCAGGGGGAGCAAACG